rnacentral:rRNA from 1 species
AUUGAACGCUGGCGGCAUGCUUUACACAUGCAAGUCGAACGGCAGCGCGGGCUUCGGCCUGGCGGCGAGUGGCGAACGGGUGAGUAAUGCAUCGGAACGUGCCCAGUAGUGGGGGAUAGCCCGGCGAAAGCCGGAUUAAUACCGCAUACGACCUGAGGGUGAAAGCGGGGGACCGAAAGGCCUCGCGCUAUUGGAGCGGCCGAUGUCGGAUUAGCUAGUUGGUGGGGUAAAGGCUUACCAAGGCGACGAUCCGUAGCUGGUCUGAGAGGACGACCAGCCACACUGGGACUGAGACACGGCCCAGACUCCUACGGGAGGCAGCAGUGGGGAAUUUUGGACAAUGGGGGCAACCCUGAUCCAGCCAUGCCGCGGGCGGGAAGAAGGCCUUCGGGUUGUAAACCGCUUUUGUUCGGGAAGAAAUCCUCUGGGCUAAUACCCCGGGGGGAGGACGGGACCGGAAGAAUAAGCACCGGCGAACUACGU